rnacentral:rRNA from 1 species
GGGAGGGGUGCAAACGUUGUUCGGAAUUAUUGGGCGUAAAGAGCAUGUAGGCGGUCUGUCAAGUCUGAUGUGAAAGCCCGGGGCUCAACCCCGGAAGUGCAUUGGAAACUGGCAGACUUGAGUACGGGAGAGGAAAGUGGAAUUUCGAGUGUAGGGGUGAAAUCCGUAGAUAUUCGAAGGAACACCAGUGGCGAAGGCGGCUUUCUGGACCGAUACUGACGCUGAGAUGCGAAAGCGUGGGGAGCAAACAGGAUUAGAUACCCUGGUAGUCCACGCCGUAAACGAUGGGUACUAGGUGUUGCGGGUAUUGACCCCUGCAGUGCCAAAGCUAACGCAUUAAGUACCCCGCCUGGGGAGUACGGCCGCAAGGCUA